UUUUUUUUUUUUUUUUUUUUUUUUUUUGCUUCUCUGCCAAAGUGUGUAACAUAUUUGUUUGGGACUAAACGCUACAAUGUAAUAUCAGGAGAUGGCAGUAGGCUGGAAAAGGUCUUCAGAUAGAGAGACAGCAGAUUAAAUGAGAAAGCAAUCAAUUUGGAGCCAGGAGGUCUGGGUCAGGAUUCUGUGCUGCCACUUACUCAUCAUGAUAAGCUCUGGCCCUUAGUUCCCUGAUCCGCACAGCAGAGGAUGGGAAAGGUUGUCUGCGGGUUUCCUUUUGGUUCUAGAAUUACGAGAUUUUAGGUACCUUAUGAGGGUACUUGAGGAUGAAGUUAAAUGUUGACUUGUACUAUUAUUUUUCUUCUGAUGAACUCAAGUUCCCUAUUCCAAAUUACAAGGUUUAUCCUAAAUUGCUUACCCUCAAUCAACAGACAAGUGUUUUUUAUUCAGCACACAUUCAUUGAAUGUUUUUUAUGGGUCAGGUAACUAUACAAAACCCUAGAAUAAUAAAAAUAAAUGAGACGUGUUUCCUGUCCGCAAGUAAUUAGGAUGCCCCUGUGAUCAAUGUCGCAGUAGAGGAAGGGAUGACGUGCCGUACAGCUCAGAAGGAAGCGGCAUUUGAACAGGUCCUGGAAGAUGUGUUCGCCAGGUAGAAAACCGGUUGAAGGAGGUAACAGGACCCUCAGGCAGAUGGAGCAGCAUGUGCUGAGUCAGAGAGUUAGGGAGAUGCAUCGUGUUUGAGUAGAGCUUCAGGACCGAGUUAAGCUUUCCAGGGCUAAACACAGGGAACAAACGGUGGGAGAGGCAGAGCAUUGACCAGACAGAGGAAAAGGGACGAGAUGUCUGGAAGGGGGAUGAGGGAUUAGGGGGUUAACAUGUUGCUAACACUACCUCGGGCCUUCUUGACAAGUUGACGAACAAUUCCUCGUGUUUUUGAGCCUCCUAUAUACUGAGAUUUGCUUGCACUCCUACCCAGCUAUUAAGCAGAACAAUCAGAAAGUCAGUCUUUGUUUAUGGGGCAUUUACCCCUUACUAAACCUUAUUCUCAACAUCCAAGGUUUACCAACAUCAAAUUUUUUUUUUCUGAAAAUUGAUCUCAGUCUAAUGUUUGUAGAACAAACCUCUUAUAAAAAAUGUUUUUGGCUAUAAGGCGAAGGAGUAGGUUUUUAACAGGAAAUCACAGAUACAUUUUUAAUGGUAAACAAUACCUUCUUCGCAUCUAGAAUAUCACAUUUCACCUCAAAAUCCCACAUCAAAUCAUUUCAUCUAUCGAAAGGGCAAAAUGGGAUGAUGGCUUGGAAGCUGCUUUUCUGAAAACUUUAAAGUUCUAGAUUAUUUUGAAUAAUUAUUAAAAUUUAUGUCUCAGUCUCAGCCCCCUUCCUCCCCCCCAAUUAUGGGGCAGGAUGAGAACUGUAUGUCAACUUGGAAUCAGACUGUUUCGAGCCAUUUAAUUUAGACACUUAUUGUUUUAAUAUAAGCACUUUCGCUUUGGCAGUCAGCAUACAAUCUUAAUUAGCACUUGGAACACAGCAGAAUAGGUUGAUGAGGUAGACGACACAGAGAAAUAUGUUCGUAAUGGCCUGCCUGGGGACUCUGGCAGCAACCAGGAAAGGCGCUUCCAGCAUAAUGCUCGAGGCUUCUGAGAAAUCAUCUCCACUGGCACUUACACUGUUGUACAUUUAAUCACUUCAGUGUUUUGAACUGGCAAAAUAUUGGCGUGAGUUGCUUGGUCAUCUGAACUACGCUCAGAGAGAAUAUUAAUUUCUUAAGGUUAUUCUGAUGCAGCAACUGAUGGAUGAGAAAACUAAACUCAUUUUCUACAUCUGCCCAGGGUUCAUUUCCCAACUUUGCUGGUCAAACUCUUACUCAUCCUUUAAACCCUAGUUGGAAUAUCCCCCCUCACAUCUCUCCUAACCUCCUUUUCCCCCAUGGCCCGUCUCUUUUCUGCAUAUGCCAAUUGACUAUGCACCUACAGCUGCAUGACUGCACUAUGUUGUUAUUUUUUAAUGCAUUGUUGCCUCUCAACGCCAGAGCUGUAGGAAUUGUAUCUCCAUGUUUGCAUUUUGGUUGUGUCUAAAAGACACUGCAUGGUGAAGUAAAAAGAACAUGCACUUUAUAGUUAAACUGUUUUACAUUUAAUCUUAGCUGCUACUUACUUUCUGUGGGAACUUGGGCAAGUUACCUAAUUUCUUUGUGCUUCUUUAAGUAAGGGCAGUAAUGCCUGCUGUGCAGGGUUGCUGUGAAGAUUAAAUAUGAUCCGUCCACCUAUUUAACAAAUACACAGGUCCGAUUACACAUUAGUCACUAGGUACUGAGAAUAUAAUGGUGAAUAAGGCGUGAUCCUGUCCUGAGAAUGUUAUAAUUUAUUGAAAGAGAUAAGAAAACAGACAAUUGCAAUAUAUUUUUUUUUUCUUGGCCACCCUGGCCAGGGAUCAAAUCCAAGCUGCAGUUGUGACCUACGCUGCAGCUAUAGCAACACAGGAUCCUUUUACCCACUCCAAUGGGCUGGGGAUCGAACCUGUGUCCCAGAGACACUGCCAAUCCCAGAGAUGCUGCCAAUCCCCAUUGCGCCACAGCAGGAACUCCAAUUGCAAUAUAAUUCUUGAAGGAUGACUAGGAAUUCACAAGCACAGGGAUUCUUGGGGUUGGAUGAAGGCAGCAGGACUUGGGGUGGAAGGGGAAGCAUGUGGGGUGCUCUUGAGCCAGAGAGAAGAUGGCAAGUCCAAGACACUGAACCAUCACAGGGCAGAGGCCGUGAGGUUGAGGCUGGAGAAGCAGUCGCCACGAGGGUCCCUGCAAGCCAGGCAUGGGGCAGGAGGAAACUUUAAAGAACGAAUCAUCAGAUUAGCGUUUCAGGAAGAACUUCCUUGGCUGUGUGUGAGGUGGUUUGAGACAGUCAAGGGGACCAGCGUGACCAGUUAUGAGACUGUUGCCCAGAGGUGACGGUGGCCUUCAGAGCAGGAAUCACUGUGGGAAUGGAGUGAUGAAAACACGCUGAGAUAUUCAGGAGCUGGAAAAGGCAGGCUGUGAUCUGAUGUCGUGGUGGGGAAAAGGUAGGAGGGAAGUCAGGGAGAGGAAGCAGAGAAGUGGUUUGGGAUGUUAGGUGGGGAAAGAAAAGUAAGUCCAGCUUGGAAGCUGGGGUUUGAAGUAACCAUUGGGGAGUGUGGCACAUUUUGACUCCAUCAUCUUAACGCCUGUGUAUUUGGACCCUGAUGGUUUUGUUGUUUGGUUUUGUGGCUUUUUUUGUCCUGGAAUGUAAAUAUUUCUGUUAGGAUGAUAUCAAAACUGAUGAAUUCUGUGGCAAAGAUUUAUUCCAGGAUGAACUCCACUGAAGCAAUUGAAUUCCUUGGUCCAUUUUCCAAAACAGUGUAGUAAAACUGUUUCUUCCUGGUUGUUUCCACUUUCGUUUUUGUUUUACCAACAUGAUUUCCAUCAGGAUAAAGUCUUUCUUCCUUGUACAAGGAAGGCUUGAUUUUUUUUCAACUUCUUUUUCUUCAUCUUUGUCAAAUUUUUAUGGAUUAUAGCUUUUUUCUAUGGCAAGUUUCCUUCUAGGUCCACAGUUUCUACCCUGUCAAACUUUAUGCAUGUAAACUUUAAUCAGAUCUUUUUGAUUUUUCGUUAACCUGUAGGCAAUAUAAUUUUUCACCAUUUGCUGUUUUUUUGGUUGUUGUUAUUGUUAUUGUUCACUGUCUUUUACUUUUCUCUUUUAACCAAGCCCAAUAUUUUCUGAAACAAUUUUUGCAGUUUUUAAAUUUAGCAAUGAUACGGGACCCUCAAGUCGGCUUUUCAACUAUAGCAAAAUUUACUCUGCAUCAUUUUGGCCCUUGUCAAUUUCAUUUUGGUCCUUAAACUCAAACUGCCUCCCAAUGACAGAAUCAAACUGGCAUAUAUAUACAUAUAAAUUUUUUUUUUUUAAAGGAGUCCUCUGGCAGCUCAGUAGGUUAAGGAUCCAGCAUUGUCACUGUUGUGGUGUGGGUUUGAUCCCAGGCCUGGGAAGUUUUGCAUGCUGCAGGCAUGGCUUAAAAAAAAAAAAAAAAAAAAAAAAAAAAA
rnacentral:lncRNA from 1 species